GCCCACAUAGCUCAGUCGGUCAGAAACGCGUUCUUGGUAAGAACGAGGUCAGCAGUUCAAAUCUGCUUGUGGGCUCCA
rnacentral:tRNA from 1 species